UUGCCAUGAUGAAGGAUUCCAAAGUCAUUCGUAGUUUCCACCAGAAAUCGAGAGAUGGAUGUUGGCCAAUUACCUUCCUUGGAUGUCUGAGCAA